UGUCUGUGUCAAAUUAAAAGUCCCGUCACGAGAGGCUUCGCGGUCCGGUGGAGAAAGUUAAACUUCAUUUUAUUUUGUCUUUGCGCAACCCGGUUUAAUGUGGACUCUUUAAGUUAGCAGAAGGGGGGAACUUUAGGACACCGGACUCUAAUCCGUGUUUGUACGUUGUUUACGUCGAGAGGAGGAAGAUCAGCUGAUGCAGCCAGGUGAACUGCAGACGGAUGGAUGAAUGGCUGAAGUUGGACGGACGCUUUCUAGUCUAGUGGGGGAUUCGCUGUUUGUCUCGUAUUGCACCGCUGCACCUCCUCCUCCUCCUCCUCCUCCUCCUCCUGUGUCCCUCCAUCGCGGUCGGUCUCCUGCGGCCUGUGAGCGGAUGAAUGCCAGAGCCUGUGAUUUUACCAUCGCCAAAAGGACUCCAUGUCUUUCUUGGACUGUUCCUGCAUCUCCCACGCUCAGGUCCAGCCCUUGGACAUAGAGGAGCGCUAUGAGGACACCAGCCACCAGUUCCUGAGCUGUGACGGUUCUGAAUACACUCUGCAAGGGCCAGCGGGCGGCGAUGACAUCACAGGGCUGUCGCCCGAGCCCGCCCACUACCAGCUACUGUCUGAGCUGGGGAGGGGCUUCAAUAACCUGAGCCAGGUGAACAUGGCACGACACAUCCCUACUGGCCAGCUGGUGGCCAUCAAACAAACCAACCUGGAUGAGUGCACCGAGGAGGAGCUGCUGCAGCUAAUGAACGAGGUUCUGCUGUCCAGGCUGUUCCGUCACCCCAACCUGCUGACCUCUCGCCUGGUUUUCAGCUCCUGCUGCCAGCUGUGUGUCCUCACACCGCUCAUGGCCUACGGCUCUGCAGACACUUUACUCAGAACAUAUUUCCCAGAUGGAAUGAGUGAAUCCCUGAUAGCGUACCUGCUGUACGGAGUGCUGAAAGCAUUGGAAUACCUGCAUCGGAUGGGCUACGUUCACAGGGGGGUGAAGGCCAGUCAUAUUCUGCUGUCAGGUGAGGGGCGUGUCUACCUCUCGGGGCUCCACAGUGUUUACAGUAUGAUGCGUGAGGGGAAGAGGAUGAGGGCCGUGUUCGACAUGCCCCACCACAGCCCCGCCCUGUUGCCCUGGCUCAGCCCUGAGCUGCUGCGACAGGACCUGCACGGUUAUGGAGUGAAGUCGGAUAUCUACAGUUUAGGUAUUGUGGCCUGUGAGCUGGUCAGCGGCAGGGUGCCUUUCCAGGACAUGCCCCCCACUCAGAUGCUGCUUCAGAAGCUGCGCGGCUCCCACUGCUGUUUGCUGGACGUGGCGCCCUUCCCGCUCGGCGAGCUGGGCGGGCUGAAGGUGUCGCGGUCCGGGGUGGACUCGGGCAUCGGGGAGAGCGUGGCCACCGGAAGCCUGACGCACAGCGCCACCGCUCCUCCUACUGACCGACCUCAGAGCCCCGGACCCAAAAACCACUCGGUCACACUGCACAACCUGGUGCAGCUGUGCCUGCAGCAGCAGCCUGAGCGCAGACCGUCAGCAUCUACACUGUUGACCCACGCCUUCUUCAAGCAGGUGAAGAGGCACACCAGAGACACCUUCCUCAGCCUCAUGUACCCAGCAGUGCCCCUCACCAGUCCCGAGGACCCUCCAGUAUCCAGCCCCCCCGCCCCGUGCGGCCAUGCUCCGAUGUCAACCUCCACCGACACCACUGAGGCAGUGUGGGACUUCUCCUAACCCCCGAUUCUCUGACCCCAAAUCUCCAAAUCCUGACUAGCAAGCCAAACAUGAGACAAUCAAAGCAAAGCAAUGAGGCCAAAUUCUACUGUGCUUUUAUUUUUUAUUAGUAACCCGACUCUCUGAGCCUUUUUUAAGUAGUUUUGUAGUUUUUUUUAUAUGUAUGUCCGAUGCAUAUGUGGAGUUUGGGUCAUGGGUCGGUGGCUCCACUGUGAAAGUGCUGGAUCAAAGAAGCUGCUCUGAUCAUAUUGUAAGGAUCCAUAAUAAUAAUAAUGGACUGUCAAUUACAUACAGAACAAAACACUAAUCAGUUGAUGAAUAAUCACGUACUUCUCUGAGGUAAAACGCAAUUAUGAGCUAAAGGAAAAGUUCACCCAGAAAAACUUUACAGCAGUAAAUCGUACACAUCUGGGAACAAUUUGUUUUUACAGAACGGAGAACCUCAUUAACUGAAUCUGAAAUAAAUAACUGAAUACACUAUAAAGUUCAACCUGAAUAGGUACUGACAAAAAUAACCCCUGAAGUGUGAGACACUAUGUGAGGGUGGAUUUUUUCCUUUCAAAGUGUUAUUUUGUAUUCAGACUGUGAAUAGUAAAUACUGAGGUACAUAAGAACAUAUUUACAACACGUAUGUGCAUAUAUAUUCAUCUACAUCAGAGGUCUGAGAGUGUUGUUCUCUGAGUCAUCACUCAGUGAAAUCUGAGCACAUAGACUGAUUCACGUAUUUUUAGAUUCGGUGUACUUACACUCUCUGAUGAUAUCAUUAUCUCUAACGUCCGUUGUUAAUUAACGUCCACAGAUCCGCUCAUAAAUCAUGGAAAAAAAGACAUUCCUUAUAACUCAAGAACUUUCCUGAGAAUUAUCACGUUUUUUAGGUUUUCUUCAGGAUCAAAGUAAUCCAGUGUUAGAUGUCUGUACAUCCAUGGGUACGCUACAAACAGGAACAGCUAAUAGUUAAUUUGGCAUACUUUUAGUGGCACCACAAAUACAGGCUAGAAAAUUAUGGCUUAGGUUAUAGCCGCUAACUAACUGACUCCUUGGCAACAUUAUACUUCCUGUUUACAUCCCCCAAAGCCCCCAGUUAUGGGAACUAUGGUUUCAAAACAUAGAGCACAAUUACGCCUCAAAUUGAUGUAUGUAUUGAUCUAUACCAUUCGAUACAUUUGACAUCAGAAAAAUAAACACUUGAACAAACAAGUGUGAUCACAACUAACUAAAAUGACAGAAACCAUCUUUGGGAAAAGAUUAUUUGAGGUGUAUUUUUUUAGUUUGGCCCAUUUGCUAACUUGGAGGCAGCUGGCUUUAUGACCUGUACUGCAGUCAGCCACCAGGGGGCGAUCAAGAUGUUUUAACUUCACUUUUAGGGAGCUGUCAUGUCAUCCGACUUUUAUAUGUCGAUGGAUUAAAACCUAGAGAAAUCCGAAAUUUUAUUCAGGUAACGGUACGUUUCUUACUUGCCUCUAGGUGCUAUAACGUCCAGGUGACACGGCAGAGGGUGAGCUGAAGUUGGCAAAUGUGACUCAACGUAAUGUGAAUCAAACUUUAAUUUACCUCAUCUUUGAACACAAUUUCUGCCUUAGUUACAUCUGAUGUUUAACAGUGAAAAUAACAACUCCUGUGAUCCAACGCUACUAUAUCCGAGAGACCCCUGGUGGCAGGAAUGACAUAUUAUACGUUGAAUACUGAUGUUCAGAAAACUGGCCACAGUCAAAUAUGUAAAUAUAUGUUUGAACAUAUAUGCACAUAGUGUUAAUGUAUAGUCAUUUUUAUGCGUGUUACCCUGUGUUUGCCUAUGAGCCAAUAAGACACGCUGCAAACAUGGCUCUUGAAAUUAGAGCGUAGUAUCUUCCAUGUAGGAGUUAGAGACCAUCAGUAGAAACAGUAGAUGAAAACCUUCCCUGCCCUGAUCAUCAGUGACACGCCAAAAGAGUAUUUCUACUGUGCUCUGUGACCACUUAUCCAACAAUGCCUUUCUGUUUGAAUGAAACCUGCAUUCUGAAUAUUGUGAUCUAUCUGUAACUGUGAUUAAGUGUGCUGUGUAUGAGAACUGUGAUCCACAGUACAUACCAAACAUGGUAGCUGUAUGAGCCUUAUAUAUACACAUAUUAUAAAUGAUAUAUAUACACAUUUAGAUUUCUAAACUUCCUGUUAGCCUCGAUUGACUUUCUUAUGGAUUUGUGUUGAUAGAAAAGUGUUGUGUGUUUUGACAGUACGCUCCAUUCUACUUCCAACCUGCACGGUAUGAUCUUCUCAAACCCCCCGAACUCUAAUGGAUCCUCAGGACUGUUAAAUGUGUAGGAGCUACUCAAAUCUGGAACACGGACUAUAAAAAGACCGAGGUCCACUUCAUUAUACGUGGAUAACCGAGUGAGUCUGGAUCUAUUAAUCUGGAACUGAUGUCAGAGCAACACAUCAUUAAGCCCAAACCAACAGAAGACGUUUUAAGGUGAACUCCAAACACAAGUGGCUCACUCUCUUCAACUUGAACCAGGAAGUGUUGAUAUAAUUAUGAUUUUAGAAGAGAAGAUGCAGGUUAUUGUAAAAUCUCUAUGAUCUGUUGGUGUAAUUAUCAGUAUUACAUUUCUAUUACAACACCAGUUACCUAAAGUUAUUCAUGAUAAAACAAAAUAAAAUCAGAAACGAACUCAUCCACAGGUACCAUACAGGGCUGAUUCUGAGUUUAUCAAAAGCUUAAACCGUCAGACUGGUUUGUCUCUUUCUGAGAUUGUGAUGGGCAUCGCUGUGAAGCCAGUAUGGAGGCUAUUGACCCACAUAUGUCUUCCAAUUAAAAAGUCUCAUUCAAA